UUGUAAAUUCAGCGGUUUUGGAGUUAUUGAAUUUUUUGUCAGUUGAUUGAAAAAACUUGAUAUGGUCAAAGGCUUUACAAAAAUCUUAAUAUUUUGAAAACCCAUGCAUUGAUUUUACUGAUUUUGGGUUUAUAUGAAAGCUGAUGAGUUUCUCAACCAAAAAGGUCCCCACAAGUUUUUUUGUAAAUGCAGUCGUUUUGGAGUUAUUGAACUGUUUGUCAAUUGAUUGAAAAAAUUAUGAUUAUGUCAAAGGCUUUACAAAAAUCCGAAUAAUUUGAAAACUAAUGUACCGAUUUUAUUAAUUUUAGUUUUAUAUGAAAGCUGAUGAGUUUCUUAACGAAAAAGGUCUCUACAAGUUUUUUUGUAAAUUCAGCAGUUUUGGAGUUAUUGAAUUUUUUGUCAAUUGAUUGAAAAAAUUAUGAUUAUCUCAAAGGCUUUACAAAAAUCCGAAUAAUUUGAAAACUAAUGUACCGAUUUUAUUAAUUUUUAUUUUAUAUGAAAGCUGAUGAGUUUCUUAACCAAAAAGGUCCCUACAAGUUUUUUUGUAAAUACAGCCGUUUUAGAGUUAUUGAAUUAUUUGUCAAUUAAUUGAAAAAAUUAUGAUUAUGUCAAAGGCUUUACAAAAAUCUUAAUAUUUUGAAAACCAAUGUACCGAUUUUAUUAAUUUUUAUUUUAUAUGAAAGCUGAUGAGUUUCUUAACCAAAAAGGUCCCUACAAGUUUUUUUGUAAAUACAGCCGUUUUAGAGUUAUUGAAUUAUUUGUCAAUUAAUUGAAAAAAUUAUGAUUAUGUCAAAGGCUUUACAAAAAUCAGAAUAAUUUCAAAACUAAUGUACCGAUUUUAUUGGUUUUUGUUUCACAUGAAAGCUGAUGAGUUUCUUAACCAAAAAGGUCCCUACAAGUUUUUUUGGAAAUACAGCCGUUUUGGAGUUAUUGAAUUUUUUGUCAAUUGAUUGAAAAAAUUAUGAUUAUGUCAAAGGCUUUACAAAAAUCUGAAUAAUUUGAAAACUAAUGUACCGAUUUUAUUAAUUUUAGUUUCAUAUGAAAGUU